AGAGAAAAAGGGAGUGACGAAUAUAUAUACAUAUAUACACAUUUUUUUCUUUUCUUCUUCCUGUUUUUUCAUAUUUUGUCUACUUUUGAUGCAGAGUUCAAACAGACCAGAAGAGCGAUCAGAGUGAGAGCAAGCAAAGAUGACAAGAGAGAGAGAAAGGCAUUGUA
rnacentral:ribozyme from 1 species